AACUUCCAAGUGCCAAGCCGACCAGCCACAAGCCCACAGGCCACAGCCCCACAUUGUGGAGGCGGCGGCGGAGCCUUCUGCCUUCGCCGGAGAGGAACUGGAGCCGCCGAGGUGACGAGGUGGUUGGUGGUGGAACUUGCAAGGGGCGAAGGAGGCCGACGCAGCCGACAUGGUCAUGGGGGGAGAGGGAGGUCGGCGUCCUCGCGGCGCGGUGUUGCCGCUGCCUUGUCGCCUCGUCGGUAGCACCAAGCGCCACCUCGUUGAGCUCGCGUCAGCCUCCCUUCACUUCCUCCUGAGAUCCUCUGUAGGCUUAGCAAGCUAGUAUUAUCGAGGCACACUGUGGUUGAAAAUUAGAAUUGUUGUCAAGUGUUACAGUCAAUUCAAUUAGGGCAAAUUUAGAAUAUCCCAUUCUGGUGAGGCAGAGUGGCACAUAAGCAUCCAUUAUCAUGUUUAACAGAAACAUCUCUUGUGCAUAUUGGACCUUUAGCUGUCCUGAGUAUCUGUGAGUUGUGUCCUAGGACUAAUUUGAGCCCUUUUUAGAUCCCUGUUGGCAAAUUCUAUUGUAGAUACAGGUGAGAAGUGGCGGUGCCAUUUUGAGGUCUAAAUGUCCAAAAUGGCUAGUUAUUUGUGACCUUCAGUGCCAUCUAGAUUAUUUUGAAGCCAAUAACUUUAGUAUAAUGCAUGCAGCUCCACCUACCACUAACAGCAUAAAAGGUAAUCUAUCUGUCAGAUAAGAUCAGGAUCCCACAAUCAACUAGAUGUUGCUUUCGCCUUUACCUUGAUUCAACAUGUUUUUAUCAGUCAUAGUCUCAUAGAAGGAGCCAAUAAUCAAGAAAGGUGUGAAUCUCUUGAUACCAUCGUUAAUCAUACUUUGGUCUUUGGUACCUUGUACUUGUAGCUGAUAUAGUUCUCUGAUUUAUGAAAUGUAUGCUAGCUUGCUUCGGUAAAUUGUUCUUCAAGAAACCUUUGCUAAAAUUCAUGAGGUAAUAUUCAAUUUGUUGAAUUGUAAUAACUAAGGCUGAUGUUCAUCAUACAAAUGGUGUGAAGAUGCUCAGACAUUGGGCUAGAAAAGGUAUGCUGCAUCAUAAAACCAGACCUCUUCCUCUCCCUAUCUUUGUGUGCCUUAUCUGCAGACUGCAGUGACAAAAUUGGGGACCAGAGUUAGCAUAAAGUGAUAUAAGCUUAUCACACUUUAUUUUACCUGUGAUGUGAGUCACACCUGAAUAUUUAAAUGUCACCUUUUUCUAGAAGUGUGUAUGUGAGGUAUGAAUUCACCCAAUCUAUAUAUAAAGAGUUAAUUGUUCUGGUAAUUGUUUCAGAUUAAAUAAAUAUGGUAUGCGAUCUUGACUUCUUGCCUCCAUUGAUAUCUGUACUGUUCUUUUUUAUAUUUCUGUCUGAGCUCUUAUGUCUUAUCUUCAGAUUAUUCUUGAGGAAAGUAUUGGAUUGAAAAAAUGCUGUUACUAGGAAAACACUUUGCAUAUGGUACUUAGUUAUUCUAGAUCAAUCUGUAAAAUCUUGUGUUAGAGCAACUCCACCAGUUGAUUGAAACCAAUCCUAUUUCCCUAUAACCAGCAAUAGAGGGGUCAGAGUAAAAAAUGAGCUCCAUCAGAUCCUCUUUCUAAACCCCUUUCCCCAUUUUUUUUUCUCAGCUCCUCAAAAUCUCUCUCUCUCUCUCUCUCUCUCUCUCUCUCUCUCUCUGAUAUCCGGGUGCUGACACUGCAUCUCUGCAAAGACCGGGCGAGCUGGCAUGCGGGCUGCCACGCCGCGCAGAGUUCUGCGCCACCCAGCCUUGGGCAGGCCGCCGCUACACGCCCUGCGCUGCACUGCUCCCCGCACUGGGCAAGCUGCAUCUGCAGUCAGAGGAGAAGAGAGAAACUGGAGAUGAGAUGAAGAGAUAUUUGUUCAGACACAUGGGUUCCACCUAUAACAUCGAUGAGUGUUUCUCAGUCUGCUAGAGCACAUAUCCCCUGUACUAUUUAAUUCAGUGCAUGUAUGCACUUUCAACUGAAUUCUGGCUUGCUGUAUGGUAUCUGAUGGCUAGAUCACUGUAAAGGCGGCAGCAGCAGUCCUGAACACAUUACUGGGUCGCUUGAUUUUGGACAGGCAGUAGAUGAGAAUUGGCAAGUGAGAGAGUUUGGCCUUGCUGACCUUUUCUAUUCGGUACUGUCAGAGCUCAGAAGUCUUUUUUCAAUAUUAAUAUGGAUGUAAAAACACACUGUUUCAGAAAAAAAAAGUAGUGUAAAGACCUAAUCAACCUUUAUGACUUUUAUCAUCUGCAUUAUCUAUUGAGAUUGUCAACUCUUUUCUUAGUUUUGUAGUAUUUUAAAGGUUUUCCCAUCUUGUUGUGAAAUAUGAACUUUACAUAUGAAUUUAUCGACGCACCCUUUUCUCUUUCUUCCCUCACUUACCAACUUAUCCUACAUUCUCUAUCAUUUAGUAGAUAUUUAUAGCAAAGGUAUCAGGGUCAUUUUCUCUCAUUUUUUGGAUUUCACCUUGUUAAUACUUGUGGCUAUGUUGCGCAGGAGUGCAGGCAAGGCAGAAAUGGCCAGAAGCAUUCCUGUAACUAUGCAAGUAAAUUUUUCUUGAGCUUUUUCUGACUGAGUAAUCUGGAAGCACCACUGAUCAGUAGCCAUACCUUUUAUUCUGUUUUUAUUUCUUUUUCCUGGUUUGCUUUAAUCACUUUUUGUUGAACGAAUGCUCUCUCUCCUGCUGACUAAGUUGAUAAGGUAUUAAACCCUGCUUGUAACUUAAGAGUGACUAGAUAGAUCUAAGGCUCCAAAGCAGAAAGUGAUGGGUUGAGAUAAGGUUAACUAUGGAUAGCCUGGAAUAGUCAUAUGACUCCCACGUAGACGUCUACAACUUCACACUGAAGAUGCAUUGGGCAAAUGCAUGGUUCAAUCAAGGAGUUCGUUGUGCAUAUCCGAAACAGGGACCAUUUUAUAUUUUAAACAUUUUACAGAGCUCAUAUGAUUGUGUUGCUCUCUGCACAUGAGCAUACAACUAGAAAUUGCAUCAUGACUGAUAAGAGGCUAUAUGUUUGUCAGAGAACUGUUGUGACAACCAUUGGUUCAAAUUGAAAUAGAAGUGCUUCGCCAUGUUAUUGAAUCCUCAUCAAAGCAACCAUAGCUGUUAAGUCCACUUGUCUAAAGAAAAGUACUUCCUCAAUUUCAUUUUUAAUGGGGCUACCGAAUCAGCCAUAGUCCCUGGGAACAUGAAACCAUGCCGUGUUCAUCGUCCUAUGGAUGUCUUUCCUGUUUGAAGAACACAGGAGCAAUCUCGUCCCCACCUUGUGGCUUGUCAAAAUCUUCCUGGGAACUUGGUGACUGUGAUCAAUCCUUUCCAUGCUACACCGAUAAAUGAGUUCUCAAUAUGUAAUUGACUUUGCUCCAGCUGAGCUUGUGUAUGUAGGCACCAUGUUAAAGAAGCAUUCAGCUUUGUUUAGGAAGCAACACUCAUAGUUUAUAUAAUGCUCCAUAGAUAACAUGCUUAACAUAUUUUUUGUGCCUAAAUUGCUUUUUGUCGACUAACCACUCAUUCAAGGGGUGCUGCACCUAGUAGGAUGUUGUUGAUAGCCCAAGCAGUCUUAAGCUAACAUAUCAGACUCCAAUUUGCUAGAUUGCUUUUGGUCCACACAAAGUGGACAGGAUCAAAACAGAGCAACAAAGGAUAAACAUAUGCUUUGUGAGUGCGCAACGAAUAUAUAGCUGCUCCAUUUCCUUUGUGUUUAAGCUUAGAUGAUUGCUUUUCCCUUUUUUUUAGUAUUAGCUGCAGUCUUAUCUUUCUUGUAGCUAUAAGUUAAAUAAUGUCGCUGUGGUCUUUGGCUAUAUACUUUAGUCCAAGUUGCCAUCGAUCAGCUUACACAUGAAUCGAGUUAAUUCAAAUUGAUUGACUUAUUCAGCAUGUUCUUUUUCCGCAGUUAGGAGUCUUGUUUGCAUAAAACAAAGAGGAAUUGCACCGAGUGAUAGGCGUUGUGAGUAUGACGUGUCUUUGCAUGGACCAGCACGUGACUCAGUUCUUGUGAAGUCAUGAAUCCACCAACAGAGGUCAAAUAGCUGACUGCAGCCAGAAUGUUUGCAGCCGCACAUGAUGAUCCUUAAAAUAUUUACAGCCAUCCAGCAUAACCUUAGAGCUGGUUUGAAGAGGAUGCAACCGAUGCAGCUACCCAAAUGCCUCAAAGAGCCUAUAAAUACUUCAGCGCAGACCCAGUUUAUGAUUCUACAUGAGGCAGACUAAAAACAAGAACAUACCUACGCAACUAGUAGAGAUUUGCACUUGCAGGACUCUGAAGAAAGCUGGGUUUGUGCACAAGGACAUGGAGUACCCAAGAAGGACACUGCUGCACACUCCAUUCUCUGGGCAUCCCUCUAGUCCAAGCCACCCAUUAGAUGGAGCCGCGGCCACAGAUAGUGGGGCUCCAGGAAGCAACUUCGAUGCAAACAUCGUCAUGAUCCUGGCUGUUCUUCUGUGUGCACUGAUCUGCGCUCUUGGGCUCAACUCCAUCGUUCGGUGUGCACUGCGGUGCUCGAGCCAGAUAGUGGUGGGCCCUGAACCAAACCAGGCGACGCGGCUUGCUCAGAGCGGGAUGAGGAGGAAGGCCCUCCGAGCCAUGCCGAUCCUGGUCUACUCGGCUGGGCUGAAGCUCAAUGCUGCUAACCCGAUGUGCGCAAUCUGCCUGUCAGACUUUGAGGCAGGGGAGCAUGUCAGGGUCCUCCCCAAAUGCAAGCAUGGCUUCCAUGUCCGGUGCAUCGACCGGUGGCUGCUGGCGCGGUCAACAUGCCCAACAUGUCGGCAGUCCCUGUCUAGAGUGCAGCAAAAAGCCUCUGGCUGCUCUGAGGCAAGCCGGGCCGAGCCAGAGCCUGCAUCUGCUCGCCCUGUCCUUGUGCCGCUCAGACCUGAAGGUUUGGUAACUCCUUAUGAUUUUUAGAAUGUUCAGUUGCUUCUUAAUUGUUACAUAAAGGUCGAGAAAAGGUAGAAACAAAAAAUUGUGCUCAUUAGAUCUUAAUGCCAGUCUGGUUUGUACAUUGUUGCUGGACAAAAGAUGUAAAGAUUUUUCUAGUUUUUGACUUGAUGUGUCAGUGCCGAUUGUUGCUGGAGAAUGUGCCAUGGACAAUACCAGUUGCUCUGGUGGGCCUUUUUGUGAAUCACCGUUUCAAUGUGAGUUUGUAAAAUGUAAAAAGAAGAGACAUGAUUGGCCGGUCUAAUCAUAUGGCAGUGCUGCACGACCACUAUGGUGAUUGGAGAUCAAGCUUUAGCUGCUACUUCAGAUUUCAGUGGGAACGGCAUAUUCUAUGCCAUUAUGAAGAGGUCCGGGGUUCAGCAGGGCUUGUGAUAUGCUUUGCUUCAAGGCCAUGGUUUUAGAUUUUUAUUAGUGGUCAUCAUGUAUGCACCCGCAGAAUUGAGAGGUGAGCCCACACCCAACUAUACCUGAUGCACAUUGGCUAAUUGUUUGCUAUUUUGUUCGUGCCAUCGUGUGAAUUGAUGUGAGGCCAACAGAAGAAUUGAUAGGCCAAUGAUAGAAGCUCAUGUGCUGUGUCAAA